rnacentral:rRNA from 1 species
CCCUGGAGUGGGGGAUAACGCAGCGAAAGUUGCGCUAAUACCGCAUACGAUCUGAGGAUGAAAGUGGGGGACUCGCAAGAGCCUCAUGCUCCUGGAGCGGCCGAUAUCUGAUUAGCUAGUUGGUAGGGUAAAAGCCUACCAAGGCAUCGAUCAGUAGCUGGUCUGAGAGGACGACCAGCCACACUGGAACUGAGACACGGUCCAG